GAUGAACGCUAGCGACAGGCCUAACACAUGCAAGUCGAGGGGCAGCAUGAGACGGAGAUUCGUCGAAGUCUUGAUGGCGACCGGCGCAAGGGUGCGUAACGCGUGAGCAACUUGCCCGUUUCUGGGGAAUAACCGGUGGAAACGCCGACUAAUACCCCAUAGUAUAACGAAGAGGCAUCUUUUUGUAUUAAAGAAUUUCGGAAACGGAUAGGCUCGCGUGGCAUUAGCUAGAUGGCGGGGUAACGGCCCACCAUGGCGACGAUGUCUAGGGGUUCUGAGAGGAAGGUCCCCCACACUGGAACUGAGACACGGUCCAGACUCCUACGGGAGGCAGCAGUGAGGAAUAUUGGACAAUGGGCGAGAGCCUGAACCAGCCAAGUAGCGUGAAGGAUGACUGCCCUACGGGUUGUAAACUUCUUUUAUACGGGAACAAACCCCGGUACGUGUACCGGAUUGCGUGUACCGUAUGAAUAAGCAUCGGCUAACUCCGUG
rnacentral:rRNA from 1 species